UACGGAGGGGGCUAGCGUUGUUCGGAAUUACUGGGCGUAAAGCGCGCGUAGGCGGACCUGCAAGUCGGGGGUGAAAGCCCGAGGCUCAACCUCGGAACUGCCUUCGAUACUGCGGGUCUCGAGUCCGGGAGAGGUGAGUGGAAUUCCUAGUGUAGAGGUGAAAUUCGUAGAUAUUAGGAAGAACACCAGUGGCGAAGGCGGCUUACUGGACUGUAACUGACGUUGAGGCUCGAAAGCGUGGGGAGCAAACAGG
rnacentral:rRNA from 1 species